CAACAGUGCAUGUCGAUAUUUUCAUCGAUCAACCACUGGUGUCCAUUUUAGACUGCGGAAUCUAGUGGCUAGUUGGUAGUACCCAUAUUCGGUGCAAUGCUUUGAUUACAAUGUUCAGUGGUGGUUCUGUAUAGUGCUAGCCCGCUGGUAUUCUUCCUUUUGAUACAUAGUUAUAGAAAUUAUUAUGGAAGGGACGCUUUACCUUAUAGGCCAUAUGCGCUUUGAGCAUUGAUCAAUUAUUUUUCAUAUGUUGCACAUUUACCUGUUUUGUUUCAUUCACGGACGGCCAUGGGCGUAAUCCCUGUUUUGUUUUGCGCAGUUUGAAUCUAUUUUUUAAAAGACAAAGGGAAAUAAGUUUAUGACUCGGGUGACCAAAGACCAAAGGAAUUCAGGUUCACCUAUAGCUCAACUGAAGAUGCUGUAGGUUUCAUCAGGGACAGUUGAAGACGAGAUAUUGGAGGAAACCAAAUCUUGUGCCACUAUAGCUGAAGAUUUGGUUCCAUCCAAAUCUCACAUUCAGCUUGCGAGGUUUGGUUCUUGAGACAGGCCCAGGUGUCCAUCCAACUAUCACUUGUUGUAGCUAACACUCAGUGUCUGACAUAUGAACAUAAGAUAUUGGAGGAAACCAAAUCUUGCCACACCCGGCGGUAAGAUUUGGUCCCAUCCAACACUCAAAUUCAUCUGCCAAAAUUUUCCAAGUUGCGAGGGCCAGACAGCGUUGAAGAUAAGAUGUUGGAGAAAACUGAACUCGUGAAGAAAUGAGUGUCUGGGGACAUGGGAGAAGAGUUCAGUUUCCCACAACUCUUACUUGCGGAGCUAGCUACUACUAAAAUCAUGCUUUGAGUUUGACCUGAACAUUUGAGACUCGCGGCUGGCCCUUUUAUAGGCAUUUCAGAUCAACAUCUGGUUCCUGCUCUGAUCCAUUCUUUCAUUCUCCAGCACGAGCUGUGCAUGCUCUGCAAACAGUUCCUGAAAAGCGGUUCUGCUUUCCAACAAACUCUGACCAGGAUUAUCGAUCCUUUGCUAUGUUCUUGCAUUUCAGAUGCUUUUACGCCCUGCAAAACAGGAAUACAUGCUGAAUAUUGUGAAGCAAAAUCUGCAGUUGUAUAUUUCGUCCCAUAUUACACAUGCCACCCGAAAGAAACUGAACUUUUCAAAUAUUUUCGAAUAUGUUUUUAUGAGACCUUGUGCAAAGUUAAGAGCCUUGCAGAACCGAGUGCUCUUUUCCCUCCCAUGUAAUUCAAAAGCUAAUACUCAGCUAAGAGCAUCUCCAACAGACACGCAACGCGCGGCGCGCUAAAAAAACGUUUGCAGCACGCUGUUCACGAGUUUUUGCGCCGCGAGGAGCGCUUGCUCCAGCGGCUGCUGCAAAGUUUAGCGCGCGCGAGCUGCUCCAGCAGGCGCUACAAAAAAAAAUGUGCUAUGCGCUCAAAACAAAUAAAAAAAGUGAUACAUAGAUAAAAAAAAGUGAUACAUAGAUAAAAAAAAAAGCGAUACAUAGAUAGUUCAUCUAGGAUAGAUAAGUUUUAAAAAAAAAAGACUACGGUGCAACUAGAAGCUACUCCGAGUCGUCCUUCUCCUCCUCCUCGCUUGUGUCGUUCGACGUAUCAAGCCACGCGUCUUCGCACCGCUCAUCGUCGCUAGAGAAGAAUGAUGUCGCUCCCAGAUCGUAUUGCGAUAUCGCCAGUGCCUUCUGACGACGUAUGUCCGCCCGUUUCUCGCGCCGCCUUGCCCUCCUCUCCGCCCAGAAGGCAUGCUCGUUGGCGACGUCCUCCGGGUGGCGCUGGCGCCACUCUGCCAUGGCUUGCUCGUCCGGCUCGGUGAUGAGGAGGCGGCGCUGCCGCUGACGGUGUUCCUGACGGUCGGCGUCAGUUAUUAGCCGCGGCGGAAGAGCGACGGUAUGCGCCUGCUCGCACGUCCAGACGUCCUGGAAGUUCAUCUAUGUCCGAGGCCUCCCGAGGUGCCACACCGCCGUGUCGUACGCGCGAGCGGCCUCGUGCGCAGUCUCGAACAUGCCGAGGCCGAGGCGGACGUCGUCGGACCGAAUCUUAGCGUAGAAGACGCCGGAGGGGCGCUGCGGACGCCGCGGUAGCCCGAAGAUCCCCGGCGGCACGGAGGCAUGGUGGCACGAUGGUGGCGCGUCGGCAACGAGGCGAGGAAGCGACAGAGAAAGCGGGGAGAAAGCGCGUGGCGAGGUGCAGAGCGAUGGGAGGCCGCGUGGUGGGCGUAGCAAUUUAUAGACGCGCCGGAAGCGGCGCGCCAAAUCUAACGCGCGACCACCCGCUUUUUUCCGCGUGCGCACAAUCGUUUCCCACCUGCGCUGGAGCGCGCGAAACCGUCCCGCGCGCGCUAAAAUCGCAUUUUAGCGUGGGGGAAGGGNNNNNNNNNNNNNNNNNNNNNNNNNNNNNNNNNNNNNNNNNNNNNNNNNNNNNNNNNNNNNNNNNNNNNNNNNNNNNNNNNNNNNNNNNNNNNNNNNNNNNNNNNNNNNNNNNNNNNNNNNNNNNNNNNNNNNNNNNNNNNNNNNNNNNNNNNNNNNNNNNNNNNNNNNNNNNNNNNNNNNNNNNNNNNNNNNNNNNNNNNNNNNNNNNNNNNNNNNNNNNNNNNNNNNNNNNNNNNNNNNNNNNNNNNNNNNNNNNNNNNNNNNNNNNNNNNNNNNNNNNNNNNNNNNNNNNNNNNNNNNNNNNNNNNUGCAGCCGCUGUUGGAGAUGCUCAGUAAUUAGUAUUGUCAUCAGAAGUAAUAAUAGUUAACAUUUGAUUAGCACUAAUAAUGAUUAAUACUCAAACUUCUCUGCAUUUUUUAUGGUAGCAGUUAGAGUAGUAAUAAUUAGGUUAAUUCACUAAACCUAGUUGAGCUUGCAUUUUGGCGUUGCCGUUCGCCUAACAAGCUUUCGCCUAUAUACUCUUUGGCUAAUUAACUUUUUUCUGUUUUCGCGACUAUUCUCCGCUGUAAAUUGUAAGUGGGUUCAGUACAACACAGUUUAGUGACAUAACUCGAGACCGAGAAAUUAAAAUAAAGCAGAAAUCCGUUACUCCAAAAGUUGGAGUGUUGGGCAUUAUCAUACAAAGCUUGUGGUGUAUAUUUUUCCCGAAUUUGGACAAUCCUAGGUGUCACAAUGCUCCAAAAUUUAGAACUUUCCUGCUAUUCAAGUUUUGAAACUGAUUCAACUACUUGUGUAUUGGGUGUUCGUUAAAGAGUAUCUGUCAAUUGACAAUUGAGAGAAUCAAGAGCGUAGUUUUAGUUGUGGGAAUCAACAAUUUAGUGAUACUAAUGUUUCCACUUUGUAUAUAUAUACUGUAAAUGCUUCGGGAGAUGUUAAUUUGUUCUGUUGUGUUAUUUCAGUUAUCUUGUUUUAGAUCCUUUUAGGUUAUAAGUGCUUUCUUAGUCUGUGCACAUUAUGAGCUGAGUACAUAUAUAGUGGAUCUAGUAGGCUUUUUUUUCAGUCGGGAUCUAGUAGGCUUUUAACAUUACUAGCACUACAUGUUCUAUCUGCACUUGUACAACACCUCCACCGGUCAUGCACUGAUUAAGGGUGGGUUAGUUUUUUUAGAUGAAGAAUUGACUGGCUAGUUCGCCCACUAUAAUCACUUCCAUAUUCUUCUUGUAUUCACCCUGUAUUUCUUUUGUAAUAAUUACUGGCUCACUAGGAUUGUCUAUCCCUAGUUGUUGUCGAAAUACUUGGUUUCCAAAUCAGAUCGUGAAUCCUUAUUUCCCACACGUGACUGGUUUGGACGGUUGCAGGGAUGCCACGUCGUUGCUAUUUCAGGGCUUUGGUCACACUGUUCAGCCAAGCUACAUGUAGUUAUUGUGAUGCGCGUGUGAUGGUGGCUAGUGACUGUAACCUCCAUAAUCGGUGAGUGAAGAUUUGAUCAUAACAGAAAGAAAGGAAAACAAGCAGGACAAGAAGAUAUGAUAUGCAGACAAAUCACAUGCCCACACCCUAUAUACUCUAGACUUCUCUAUUUAGUUAUACCUAAAUUAUCUAUAAAAUCAUAGCUACACCUAAACUGCCUGUCAAAAAGUAGUUGCAGUUAGGAUAUUUUAAGAUUGUACUCUAAAAUGUUGUAUAAAGGUUCCAUAGACAUUAAAACAGACACAAACACACUAUAAUAAGUCCUAAGAAACACAAAUUACUUUGUAGAGUACUAUGUAAAUGACAUCCAUUCGUGAUAGAUACAUUCCCUGAAAACACGCAAUAGGAAGAAAAAGAUCUAACUCAAACUUCUAGUAUUUAGAAAAUACAUUACAAUUUGCAUGGUGAAAAUAGUAUCAUUGGAUUAUUAUUUUAACAUGUAGCCAUAACAUAAUUUUUGGUAAUUUUCUAUUAGCAUGUACAUACAAAACAUAAUGAUUAAAGAUGCAUAUUAGAGAUUAUAUGAUAUCUAAGACACAAUCUAUUUACGAUUGGGAAAGUAAACAUUGAGAUUUAUACUAAAUAUCAAUAGAAAUCAUGUUAGCUACAGGCAAAAAAGUUUAAUAUAAAUAGUUAAGUAUAUGUUGAAUGCGUGAUAUUGCAUAUAUAGAUUAUUUUCUUGUACGCCAAGCCCACCUCGUGUUUUCUUGUAUAGAUUGAGGGCAUGGUCCAUCUUGUACAUCAUAUAUAUGUGUGUGUAUAUUGCACCCGAUCAAUACAUGGUGUUGCAUUGCCAAACUACAUGGUAUCAGAUAGAUUCCAAUCCUAGCUCUAUCUUCCGCUCUCGCGCUGCUGCCGUGCCCUAUUCUCCUCGGGCCGCCGCCACGCGCCGCCGUGCAAUGCCUUUUUCCAUCCUAGCCGCCUUUGUUGCCGCUGCACCUGUUUGCUGCCGCCACAAACUCCAUCUACUUCUACUAGUGCCUUUUGCUGCCAUCCCAAAAUUAUCUAGAUUCGGAUUUCUGUUCAUCUAUGUGUACUACUGCCAGAUCUCCAUAUGUCUGAUAACCCCGUCGCCGUCGCGGCCGCUAAUCAUGUCAUUAAUUUAAUUGAUCUAUAUUCUAGUAGGCACACACAUCUGCUAAGAUUCCUCUACACUGCUAUACACAUAUAUCUCCUCUAUCUCGUCCCGUGUACACCCUUUCCCGGUCUCUUCGGUCCUCGUCUUGCGCAACACCAUGCUUACUUUGUCUGCCCAUGGCUGCAGGGUGCCUACCCCAUGCUGCCAUCUCCCCCGAUGCAGCCAGCCGACGCCUACUACACCACCAACAUGGUGCCUUCGCUGCCUCCGGAGCCGUGGGAUCCUUACCUCUUUGCAGCUUUUCCUUCGGUUCCAUCACCGAGCAACUAUACCUGUAGCGAUGAUUGGUAUAUGGAUACUGGUGUUACUGCUCACAUGGCCUCCCAUCAUGGUAACGUUCAUAGUUUUCACCCUAUCAAUACUUUCACUCGCAUUACCAUCGGUGAUGGCUCCUCUCUACCUAUUACACAUAUAGGACAUGCAUCUUUUCCUUCGUCAUCCAUGCCAUUGUCUCUGUCUAACAUACUUGUUUCGCCUCAUCAAGAAUCUUAUUUCCAUUCGAUUUUUACUCGCAAAAAUCCAGUUACUGUUGAAUUUGACGAGUUUGUGUUUUCUGUCAAGGACGCUCGUACCCGGAUGGUGCUCGACCAAUGUGACAGCCCUGACGAGCUAUACCCGGUCCACCCAUCCUCUUCCAUCGCCAUCGCUCCAAUUGCCUUCUCCGCUAGUGAGGAUCUUUGGCACGCUCGUUUGGGCCAUCCCAACUCCGCUACACUUCGUCACAUUCUUCAGGCAAACACGUUCAUCUUCCAUUCAGUGCAUCAUCCACUAUAGCAUCAUAUUCCUUUGAGUUAAAUUCAUAGUGAUGUUUGGACCUCAACAGUUGCAAGUAACACAGGCUAUCUUUAUUAUCUUGUCAUUCUAGAUGAUUUUUCUAACUAUGUGCAGACAUUUUCGUUAUGGCGAAAAUCUGAUGUUUUACCCACCCUCACCGCCUUUUACUCGUAUGUCAGCACACAGUUUGGUCGCCCCAUUUAUGCCCUUCAGACUAACAAUGGAUAAGAGUUUGAUAAUCUCUUCAUCCGUAACUUACUCGCCACACAUGGUAUGAUUUUUUUGUCUUACUUGCCCUUAUACUUCGCAACAAAACCGGCGUGCUGAGCGUGUCCUUCGCACUCUUAACGACUGUGUCCGCACACUUCUCUUUCACGCAAAUGUCCCACCUUAUUUUUGGCCAGAUGCUCUUGCCACAACAUCUCUUCUCCUUAAUAUCCGACCAUGUCGGACUCGUUGGAGUUAUGCACCACACCAUCUCUUAUAUGGCACUCCACCGUCCUACGAUGAGCUUCGAGUUUUUGGAUGUCUAUGUUAUCCUAGCAUCGCUUCUACCACACCCCCAUAAGCUCGCUCGCGCUCUCUUGCAUGUAUCUUCCUCGGAUAUCCCGCCAACACAAUGGGCUACGGGUGCUAUGAUCCAGUCUCUCACCGUGUGAUCACCUCGAGACACGUUUUCUGAUGAAAGGGUGUUUUUGUUUCAGCAGGUCUAUCCGGGUGUCGCUUCAUCAAUGGUCACCCUCCAUCGAUGGCUCCUCGCCGGGCGUCCGGACCGUCCCGACCGCUUCUCAGCAGCCACGUGGGGGUCGCCUGCGCUCGACUCUUGGACGACCUCCUGGCAUCCCAGCACGGGUGCCCACUUCAGACACAUGUACUCCAGCCACCGGCUCGCUGUCUGCCUCGCCUGUUGUGGCUGGAGGCUCGGACGCCACAGGAGCCGGCUCGGUGCUACCUCGCCCGGUGUUUCUGGAGGUUCAGGUGCCAUGGGCGCUAGCUUGGUGCCCGCCUUGCCCUCUGCAGCUGGCGGCUCGGCCCUGACCUCGCCUGACUCCGCUGUCGCCGCCGAGUCGCCGACCAUCUCCAUGCCUGCCACCUCGGUGCGCUCGACUGGGGGUGUCUCCUCUGUGGCGGGUUCUUCAUCACCAUCCUCACCCGUCGCCUCAAAGGUCCCGCCCGCCCCGUCACCCCCAUGAUGCAUGGUGACUCGUGCUCGAGCUGGCAUAUUCUUUGCCCGAGUAACCGAUAUCCAGCCGACGAUUACUUGUGCGCUGCCUCGACAUCCACACCAUCGCCAGUACCAUCAUCGGCUCGCGCCGCUCUUCGCGACCCUAACUGGCUCGCCGCGAUGCGGGAGGAGUUUGAUGCGUUGCCCGCAAUCAGACCUGACAGCUUAUUCCUCGACCUCGUCACGCCAACAUCAUCAUCGGGAAGUGGGUGUUCCGUCAUAAGACGCGACCUGAUGGCACUCUCGAGUGGUACAAGGCUCGCGGGGUGGUUCAUGGUUUUCGUCAGUAUGCCGGUGUUGACUUCACCGACACAUUCGCACCAGUGUCAAGCCGGGCACGAUCCGUACCGUUCUGCAGAUUGUAGUGUCCCGUGCUUGACCAGUGCAUCAAAUGGACGUCUCGGACGCCUUCCUGCACGGAUAUCUUGCAGAACUGUUCUACUGCUAGCAGCCCAUCGGAUUCGUCAACGCCGAUAAUCCAGACCAUGUGUGCUAGCUCUCGCGCUCUUUCUAUGGGCUCAAGCAAGCCCCACGUGAGUGGUACCAGCGGAUCGCCAACUUUCUUUAGCGGCUUGGGUUCUUAGCUACUCGCUCCAAUGCCUCACUGUUCGUCAGUUCGUGUAUCAUCCGGUCCUGCGACUGCUUACCUCUUGCUCUACGUCGACGAUAUCAUUUUGACGGCUUUACCUUAUAGAAAUUAUUAUGGAAGGGACGCUUUACCUUAUAGGCCAUAUGCGCUUUGAGCAUUGAUCAAUUAUUUUUCAUAUGUUGCACAUUUACCUGUUUUGUUUCAUUCACGGACGGCCAUGGGCGUAAUCCCUGUUUUGUUUUGCGCAGUUUGAAUCUAUUUUUUAAAAGACAAAGGGAAAUAAGUUUAUGACUCGGGUGACCAAAGACCAAAGGAAUUCAGGUUCACCUAUAGCUCAACUGAAGAUGCUGUAGGUUUCAUCAGGGACAGUUGAAGACGAG
rnacentral:lncRNA from 1 species